rnacentral:rRNA from 1 species
UACGUAGGUGGCAAGCGUUGUCCGGAUUUACUGGGCGUAAAGCAUGCGUAGGCGGAUACUUAAGUGGGAUGUGAAAUCCCGGGGCUUAACCCCGGUGCUGCAUUCCAAACUGGGUAUCUAGAGUGCAGGAGAGGAAAGCGGAAUUCAUAGUGUAGCGGUGAAAUGCGUAGAGAUUAGGAAGAACACCAGUGGCGAAGGCGGCUUUCUGGACUGUAACUGACGCUGAGGCAUGAAAGCGUGGGUAGCAAACAGG